GGAAGAGAAGGCAUGCAGCAGGUUGAUGUGCACUUUGACCUAAAAACAAAAAAUGACUCCACUAUCAUAUCGGGGACAUCCGUUUUGACAAUGCUGUGCUGAGAGUUGAAGUACACCAUGGAAAGAGGCUGGCGCUCUGUGGGGACGCAACAAGAUGAUGCCGCCGUGUUGAUGCCGUUGACCUUCAGCUGGCUCAGGACGGUGGCGUGGAAGGAGGAGGCGAUGCCGGGUGACCCAGACAGAUGCUGGGGGCACUGCCCCAUGCAGUAGUUCAUGUGGUAGCCCUCAGGCGCAAUGAUCCAGUCGUGCCACUGUAUGUCCUUAAACUUGAUAUAGAAGUCUCGCUUGCAGCACACGGUGAUGUCAUCGCCGCACCUCAAGGAGCGCUUCCUCAGCAAGUGUUUGGCAGGGUCUUCACGGAGGCGCACCUGCGCCACCAGAAAGGGCUGGAAGGGCGUAUCAGGAGAGGUUUCCAGCGCGCAGAGAUUCCUCCCGUCCUCCUCGCAGAUCACCUCCAGGCGGAGCCGCUUCUGGCCCCCGUCCAGGAAGGCCUGCAGGGUGCGGCUGAUGGGGAAGGUGUGCCAGUUACUCUCCUGGACCUCCAGCAUCUUCUCGAUCACCAGGGUGCGGUUUGAGUCUGCAGUCAGGAAGACGCGGGCCGCGACUUGGAAAGGGUGCUUGGAGGAGUGGACAUAAAUCCAGAGAGAUGACUGCAGCACCUGGACACUCUGGCCGCGUUCUUGCAGGAACUGGAAGGGUACCAUCUUGCCUGACGCGCCCUGAGUGCAGUUUGCGCAGCGCAGUGAGCAGCGCCACCCGCGGCACCGUCGGAGACAUCCUGGGUCUCUCCUUCAGGUGCAGCUUGUCCAAAAUUUGCUGCUUGGCCAUCUCCACCAUCAGCCUCUCCUCUGCAUCCUUCCCCAGGGGAGAACGAGGGCCGCAGGACGCGCAGCCUGGGGGGCUCCCUCUCACCCAGAGAGCCUCCAGGAGCAACAAAAAGAGAAAUGAAGAGGACUGCGCCAUCUCCAUUGAAUAGAACAAGUCUUUUCGUUUCUGUUUCUGCUCAGAUGUCCUUGUCUCCUUGCAGCUGGACGCCGUGCAGAGUUGGGCUUACUUCGGGCAAGUUCUGCAGUGAUGUUUCCAGCGUCCUGCUGGUGAAGAUAUCUGGUGGGGUAAUCCACCAAAAGUGGUGACACGUUGGAGGGACGCACCAAUGAGCGCACCGUGUGUGGAAUGAACUUUACUGGCAACGCAUCUGCAGACACGCACAAACACUCACAUGCACGGCGGGUGACUUGACUCACUCACAAUGACCCAAAAAACACGGGCAAGGGCGAACAAGUACGUGGGACACAUGCACGUCCUGUAUGAGGAUUGAAACCACCACAUGGGUCCAUCAAAGUUGGAUUUGGGUACCCUUUCACCCAGUUACAACAUGCUGCACAAGUGCAAGCGUGAGUCACCAAGCACCAAACACGUAAUGUAGGAAAACUACAACCACCUGUGUGCAGAUCUAUUUAUCUAUGCUAUGCACUCAUUACUGAAUGCAUGCACUCACCAUCUUGCCUGACGCGCCCUGAGUGCAGUUUGCGCAUGUUAAAGUAUAUUAACAUGUAAUAUGCCUCAUGAAAACUCUGAUGCAUGAGAAAAGUGCCCUUCAUAUGUUAUUUUUGUGUAUUAGGCUAGGACAAUAAGACUGCGGUACGCGACUGCCGACGUGUGGACAAUCCUUGCAACUGCAACAACACUUUUUUUGAUCAUUGGGCCUACUGCAUGUAAUACACAAAAACACAAAUUUACUUUGCUUUUACUUAUUUGAGAAUUAGCCAAUAAAUGUACAGUUUGGGUGUAGAAAUUACAAUAAGAAAUAUGUACAGUAAGAAACAUACAAGGUGUGUCUGAAAAGUAACGGAACUGGUGUCACAAACAAUUUAUUUCAAGUCCAAACAACAGUUUACAUGGUUUCACCUUCAAAGUAACCCGCCGCAAGUCUAAUGCGCUUUUUCAUCCUUCUCUGCCACGCUUCUAUGCAACUGCCGGAAGGAUUCUCCGUCGUUACAGCCCUCUUGAUGGCCUCCGCGACUUCAAAACGGGUCCCCUUGAUGACCCCCUUAAGCUUGGGGAAAAGAAAAAAGUCACACAGAGCAAGGGCAGGCCAAUAAGGGAGGUUGUCCCAGCACAGUGAUAUUGAUCUCGGCCAAGGUCAGGGCAUUGUGAGCAGGUGCGUUGUCGUGGUGAAGUAGCCACAAGUUGUCCUGCCACAACUCUCAUCUCUUCUCGCCAACUGAGCAAAGCAAACACUGCUGGACCUCUCUGUAGACAUUCUGAUCUCCCAAGAUAUGAUGGUAAAUUUUCACAAUUUGCUAAUCCCUCUUUUGCCCAUAGCUUGUACAGCACACCAAGUCCCGUUACUUUUCAGACACACCUUGUACAUCCUUCCAUCCAUCUUCUAUGCCGCUUGUCCUCACUAGGGUGGCUGGCUUUGGGUGAGAGGCGGGAAACACCCUGGACUGGUCGCCAGCCAAUCGCAGGGCACAUAUAGACAAGCAACCAUUCACUCACACAUUCACACCUAUGGACAAUUUAGAGUUGCCACCUAACAUGCAUGUUUUUGGAAGGUGGGAGGAAACCGAAGUACCCAGAGAAAACCCAUGCACGCACGGGGAGAACAUGCAAACUCCGCACAGAAAUGCUCAAGGAAAGGAUGCAAGAGCCACUUUGAUAUUUGGCAAAACAACAUGUAGAUAUGCUAAAAAGUUAUAUUCAACUCAAUUCAGUUUAUUCAUAUUGUGCCAAAUCUCAACAGCAGUUAUCUCAUGGCACUUUAUACAUGAAGGUCACACUCAUAAAUGAAAACAGAACCAAUCAAAACCCCACAUGAGCAAGCGCUUGCUGACAGAGGUGAGGAAAAACUCCCACUGGGGUAGAAACCUUGUGAACAGAACCAAGGUUCGGUGGGGCAGUCGUCUGUCUCGAUGGUUUGGGUUGAGAUAGAAAAAUAAGAGUAGAAGGAUAGAUAGCAGAUCAAGCCACAAAACAGGAGAGUCUUUAUCUUAGUCCAAGGAACAUAGAGGAGUGUCUCUGCUACAUAUCAGCGAAUCAUGGGUCAGUUCUAACUGUAUGCUUUAGCAAAAAGGUGGGUUUUGAGUUGACUUUUAAAUAGAGUGAGAGUGUCUGCCACCCCGGAUUGAGUCGGGGAGAUGAUUGGAUAAAAGGGGAGCCUGAUAACUUAAAAAGUGGCAAGUAAGUGUAAAUUCUGGGAAUGCAGUGUUCUACUGGGCUGAUAGAGUACUAUCAUCUCUUUAGAUAUACUGGUGCCUGACCGUGUACUGCAGUGGUCGCCAACGUUUUUUCUUGUGGGAGCUCUUUUUACAAAAUGAAAAUGGCCAAGAGCUACUCAUUUUUGUAACAUUCGUAGCUUAUUUCAAGCCAAACAAACUCAGUAUGCUUGUUUUACCACAACAUGAACAAAAUGCUGGUAUCCACAACUCACAUUUUGUAUUUCAGAAUGCAUUUCUUUCUAGUGUUCUCACAUUAUUAACUGAAAACCUGAAUGAAAAGCAGGCUUGCGGGCGCCUCGUGGUCUUGGAGAAGUGCUUUAUACUGGAUGUAAGAAGGACAAUUUUAAACUCAAAUCUAAAUUUUACAGGUAACCAGUGCAGUGAGGCUAAUAAGGGUGAAAUAUGAUUUCUUCUUCUGGUUCCAGUUAAGACUCGUGCAGCAGUAUUUUGGACCAACUGAAAGGUCUUUAAAGACUUCUUAGGGUAACAUAUAAGUAACAGAGAGUUACAGUAAUCCAGUGCUUCUCAAAUAGUGGGGCGGGCCCCCCUGGUUGGGGGGUACGAUGAACUGUCAUGGGGGACGUGAGAGGCAGGGAGGACUUUCAGUAUUAGUGCAGACCUGCCAACAUGUCGGAAUUUGCCGUACUCAGCAUGCAAGUUGACUCUUGAAUAUGCUUAUGUUCUUCACUGCUUUCCUUUCUGUUGCAUUUUGCUGCUUUCAGUCUGUACAGUACAGAUAAAUAAAUAGAUAUUAUCAGUUUAUCAGGACAGAAAAUAAUUGACAACCACUGCAAUAGGUUUUUCAGCAUCUGGUAGUGGCAGGAAUUUUUUGGGAUGUUUUGUAAAUGGAAAAAUACUGUUCUUGACACUUGUCGUAUUUGGAAGCUAAAGGAAAGGUCCUGAUCAAAGAUGACACCAAGGUUUCUGACUAUACUGUGGGGAGGGAGUGCAAGACCAUCUAGGGCAGUAAUAGCAUUUGCAAUCUUGUCUCGGAGGUGCUGGGAACCAAGAGCUAUGAUUUCAGUUUUAUCCGAGUUUUUUAGUAAAAGGUUUGAGGUCAUCAAGCUCUUGAUGUCUGUAAGACAUGCCUGGAUUUUGGAAAGCUGACUAGUUUCGUUAGAUUUCAUUGAUAAACAGAGUUCUGUGUCAUCUGCAUAGCAUUUAAGGUCAAUGGAGUGUUUUCUGAUGAUAUUGCCUUAGGGGGACAGACAGUAUAAAGGAUGAACAAUACAGGUCCUAUGACAGAACCCUGUGGGAUGCCAUGACUGACCUUGCCGUGUCUGGAUUCUUUAGAAUGGAUACAUACUGCAGGCGAUCUGACAACCGUUUUAAUGCAGUUCC